CUUGGUGGGCUCAAGUCACUUAAGCUUAGUAAGGAACCUUAUAAAUACUCUCUUAGGGACUAGGUUUUUCAUAACCUUUUGAGAGACAAUUGUCUUCCACUUUUAGAGAGAGAGAGCUUAGGAUUCCUCCCUUCCAAAGCUCACACUUUGGAGUGCCAAGAUCGUGGUUCAAGUCAUUAGACGGAAGAUCUUGGGUGCACGAGACUUCCAUAUUCUUCGUUCUUCAUUUUCAUCGAGUGGAAUUGGUUUGAGAACAUCCAAAUUAGAGGUAAAUUUUUCUAAUGGCUUUUCUCUAGUUCCUAUCUUGUUAAAAAUUUUGAUUUUUGCUUCCAUUGCAUAGGAUCUAGAGGCCUAGGGUAGCUUUUGCAUGCACCUAUUCAAUCUAGGGUAAGGGAACAAAGUAAUCCAAGGUUCCCAACAAUUGAUGGUAGAAAGAAGAAGGGUUAUAUCACAGGAAGGAAGGUUGCACCAACAUAGGAUGACCCAAACUAUGAUGAUUGGGAGGCUGAAGAUGCUCUAGUCAAGUCUUAGCUCAUCAAUUCCAUGAUUGACAAGCUGAUGUCACACUUUGUGUAGUAUGGAAUGGCUAAGAAGGUUUGGGAUGCGGUCAAUAGGAGCUAUCUUGAUGUCUCUGACUCUUCUCAAGUAUAUGAACUGAUGAAGAAAUCCUUUCAAUCACACCAGGGUGGUUGCCCCCUUGCAGAAUACUACAAUGAGUUAAACUCAAUAUUCAUGGAGUUUGAUUAUUGAAGGCCCAAUGAUAUAACAUGUUGUUGGAAAAUCUACCAGUUGGAAAUUCUGGCAGAUUGUGUGGCAGAUUAUUGAAUAUUUUUCCAGCCCAUAUGAGCUGUAAUAACUGUAUACUCCCAGGAUUUUUUCCUUUCUUAGCAUUCUUGACUUUUCUUAUUUAUCUUUGAUAGCAUGAUCGUAGGCAUUAUUUCCUAGGCUAUUUUUAUACAGCUAUUUUGUAUAUAUUCAUAUGUAAUCCUAUACCAAAAAAGAGAGCAGAAAGCAUUUCACAAAAAGGUUCUAGAUCUGAAUGAGAACAUGGUAUCGGAGUUAGAAUUUUCUUUGCCUAAUCACUAGCAUUCCAAUGUCCUGUGCCUUGAUUGUCAGGAAUUUUUUUCAGAUCAUAUCUCAUUAGUUUCUGACCUUCUGUUAGAAACGUUGCUUUAGAUUAGGCCUUCAUUGCCCCUAUUUUUUUGACCUUCAUAUCCUUUCUUUCCCUCAUAAUGUCAAACACUUCAAAGGUUGAUUCUUCAAUAUUGAGCCAAACCACAAUCCAACAAUCAACACCACUUGCUGAAUUCCUGAAUAUAGUAGGAUCCUUCAAACUCAAUGGGGUAAAUUAUUUAGAGUGGUCACAGUUGGUAAAGACUUAUAUUAAGGGCAAAGGGAAGUUUAGUCAUCUCAGUGGACCUGUUGUAAGGAUGAUCCAAGGUUUGUCCUAUGGGAUGAAGAAGACUCUCAAAUCAUGUUAUGGCUUUGGAACUCUAUGCAACCGGAGAUAAGCCGUACAUGCAUGUUCCUCUCAACAACUAAGGAAAUUUGGGAGUCUGUGUGUCAUACCUAUUCUAAGGUAAGGGAUGCAGCCCAAAUGUAUGAACUAAAGACAAGGAUUCACAACACCAAACAAGGUAUUCUUUCCGUAACUGAGUACUGCAAUGUUAUUAAAAGUCUUUGGCUUGAACUUGAUUAAUAUCAGAAUUUAAGAAUGAAGUGCAGCAUAGAUGCAGCAAUGCAUCAAGAGUUCAUUGAACGAGAGAGGGUGUAUGAUUUCUUGGCGGGUUUGAAUGUGGAAUUGGAUCAAGUACGAGUCCAAAUUCUUGGGAAAGAGCCACUGCCAUCUCUAAACGAAGCCUUUGCAAUAGUCAGAGGAGAAGAAGGAAGGAAAAAUAUAAUGUUAGAAAAGGGAAACACCAUGGAUAGAUCUGCUUUAGCCAUCUCAAAACCAAAUGGAAAUGAAGGAAGUGCUGCGGCUAAUGCUGCAAACUCUGGUAGAAACGAAAGGAAGAAAACAAGUGAGAAAGACUCCUUAUGGUGCAGCUAUUGCAAGAAAAAUAGGCACACAAGGGAGACAUGCUGGAAGCUCCAUGGUAAGCCCCUAAAUUUCUUCAAGGGGAAUGGGGGUAAAGGGGUUAAUUCUGGCUAUAAAUCACAAGCCAAUCUUGUUGAAAUUGGAGGAAAACAGCAGGAAGAAAGCUUUGGCCAAGAAAUGGAGCUCAACAAGGAGGAAAUUGACAAACUCAAAAGAUUCAUUUCCAAGCUAGAAAAACCUGAGAGAGUCAUUUUGCUCAAACAGGACCUUCUUACGAGGAAAGUGAUUAGGCAUGCUAGAGAAGAAGGGGGACUGUUUCUCCUUGAAGUUGAUAGUGGCACAACAUGUCCUACUCCUCAUAUGUAUUUAUCAAAGCAUCAUACUCCAGCCGAGGAACAAGUUUGGUUAUCCCAUUUUCGUCUUGUUCAUCCACCUUUUUUAUUGUUGAAAAAAAUAUUUCCUAAUAUAUUUGAAAAACUAAAUGUUCAAAACUUCCAUUGUGAUGUUUGUGAAUAUGUUAAACAUCACCGCGUGUCUUUUCCUUUAAGUAAUAAGAAAAGUUUUGUUCCAUUUAGUUUGUUUCAUAUGGAUGUUUGGGGACCUACUAAAGUUCAUAGCAUUUAUGGAGUGAGUUGGUUUGUUUUGUUUGUUGAUGAUUGUACUUGAUUUACUUGGGUAUAUCUCAUGAAACAAAAACCGAGGUUAGCACAAUCUUCCCAAUUUUUCAAAACCUGCUAAAAAAUCAGUUUGAUGCAAAGAUCUUAGGAAUAAGGUUAGACAAUGGAAAAGAGUAUUUUAAUCAAUACCUUACACCUUAUCUCCAAAAAGAAGGAAUCAUACAUUAUUCAUCUUGUAAUGAUACUCCCCAACAAAAUGGGAUAGCCGAACGUAAGAAUGGGCAUCUAUUAGAGAUCACUAGAGCAUUGAUUUUUCAAAUGAAUAUUCCAAAGUCAUUUUGGGGAGAGGCUGUCUUGAUUGCUACAUACCUCAUAAAUAGGCUACCCUCUCCGAUUCUUAACUAUUCUAGCCUUGUUGAAACACUUUCUAGAUUUUUUCCAAAAUUUGAUGGUUUCAACCACCUUUCCCCAAGGAUUUUUGGGUGUGUGGCCUUUGUACAUAUCUAUGCUCAUCAAAGAUCUAAACUUGACCCAAGAGCCCUUAAAUGUAUCUUUGUUGGUUUUUCUCCUACAAAAAAAGGGUUAUAAGUGCUAUCACCUAGCUUCUAAAAGGUUUUUUGUCACUAUGGAUGCAUCAUUCAAUGAAAAACAACUUUUUUUUUUCUAAUCCUUAUCUUCAGGGGGAGCCUUUUGCAGAAGAUAAGGAAUUCUUUCCUAGCCCAGCCACUCUUUCUAUCCUAGAAAACUCCACCAAAACUGUCCAAACUAAGGGAUCAGAUUUUUCCAUGGCAGUCACUCUAGAAAAUACCAAAAAACCAGCCCCUGAAAAUGCCUCAAACACUGCACCAGUAAUGCCAGAUUUUUCUAUAGCUGUUACUUCAGAAAAUACCCAAGCAAUUGCCCCAGAGAAUGCCUCAGAAACUGCACCAGAAGCUGUCCCUGAGUUACCCAGAUUUGAAUCCUAUAUGCAAAGUUCAGAGGGGGAGGAUCUUCAAGUGCUACUCAAGGUCUAUUCAAGGAGGAAGCAACUGGCCCCAGAAACUCCACAUGCCCCAGUCAUUCAACCAGAAAAAGGUCGAUGCUGCAUAUGAAGAUAAGGCAAAUACUGUUAUAGCUGCAGAAACAGCUGACUCAUGUGAAACAAAACCAAUUGAAAUAUCAGAGAAAUGUGUGCUGGAAAAGGAUUUGAGCUUCACAAUUGACAAGGAGAGGGGGUUGCAAAAGCCUAAGAGACAAUGCAAGAAAAAUGAAGUGAUGAGUUCUUUAGAUGAGUUCAAAAUGCUUUCAGAUCUAAGUAACUUCAAGAAUCUUGCUGCAAUGAUGGAAGCUGAAGCAUUUAUGAGGAAGAAGAAGAUAAAGAGGAGGAAAAAGAAGAGAAAGAUAGAAUUUGAAGCUCAAGAUGAAAUAACUGUUGAUGUAGGGCUGGGUCAAGAGCAACCAGACACAGUUAAAGCUGUGACCAUGGCAAAAGCAGUGGAAGCUGGAUCAGUUUCAGUUUCUGAAAACAUCAAUCCAGAAAAGCUUUUUGUUGAUGAGGUGAAGGCCGGAGUGCAGCCAAACUCAAUUAAAGCAGUGGAUAUGAGAAAGGCAUCAGAAACUGAAUCAGUUUCAGUAACAAAAAAUAUUGUCUCAGAAAAGCUUUUUGUUUCAAACUUCAAAAUUGAUGAAGAAAGGAUAUCACAAGAGGCUAAGAAAAAAUGCACGAAAAAUGAGGAAGUCAUGAGUUCUUUAGAUGAGUUCAAAAUGCUUUCAGAUCUGAGUAACUUCAAGAACCUUGCUGCAAUGAUGGAAGCUGAGGCUUUUAUGAGGUGUAAGAAGAGCAAGAAAAGGAGGAAAAAGAAGAGAAACAUGGAGUUUGAAGUGCCAUUUCCAAUAAAUGUUGAUAGUGUGAGAGAACAGAAGCAGGUGGACACAUGCAGGAGUGUUGAUACAGUGAAAUUAUUCCAAAUUGAAUCCAUUGAUAUAAAAGACAAUAUCGUGCUGCAGAAACUUCUUCAAGCACCUAGAUGUUUUGAUCCUCCAGAAAGUAGCUGGAGAAUGUGCCACAAUAGUGGAGAAGAAGCUCAAACAGCAGUUGCCUGUUCUGCAGAAAAGCAGAAGAAACCAUGCUUCCUUUGUGGGAGCUUUAAGCAUAGUGGGAAUCAUUGCAAACAGGCUCGUAAUUGCUUUGUCUAUGAAAGAAGUCAGCAUACCAGAAGUUGUCCAGAGAAAAACCAAGGGAACUGUCCAAGUUCCAUGAUAUGUUUAAGAUGCGGAGGUUCAGGGCAUGAUAUGCUUUUUUGUAGGAACGAGUAUUCCUCUGAUGAUCUGAAGGAAAUACAGUGUUAUGUGUGCAAGAGAUUUGGCCAUCUUUGCUGUGUUGAUUUCCCAGAUAUACCACGACAAGCUUCUUGCUACAAAUGCGGCCACUAUGGUCACUUGGGUUCUGUAAGUCAUACUUGCUACUCAUUUUACAUUAGGAUCUGUAUGUUUUCAUAGGGCAUGCUUAGUGGAUAGAGCAACUGCACAAUUCUUACAGAGCUUCAUCCAUGAAGGAUUGCACGAAGUGACAUGGUGACAUUACCAACUCAAUGUGAUUGCUAUAUUCUAUAAGUUGGAAGAGAUGAAUGAAAAUAUCCCCAAGGUUCAGGAUAAACUGAGGAUGGGUGGUGAUUCACCAACUACUGUGAGAUUUGUCACAAGGACAAUGGAGAUUUUUUUACGUUCCAUGUCUGCAUCUAAUGAUAUGAACACAGAGAUCACAGAAGAGAACACACAGAAUACUGGGUGAGUUGCUGGUGAUUCACCUAUAAACACUUCCAGGAAAGCUGGAGCGAAUGUUUGGGGGUGUUAACUGCAAAAUCUACUAUGAAAGGCCAUGAGUUUUCCACCUUUGCAGUGAAUAAAUAGAUCUAAAGGAAAAAGAAAUUAAAAGAGAAAGAGUUUUCAGUAUUGUAGCUGUAAAGGGGUUUGGUCUAGAGAAUGGCUAGGCUCUUUCCUUUUUGGUGUAAUGCAUGUGCAUACAUAUUAUCCUGGCAACUUUUGGAAGGAGGGAAGCUGCAAUAAUUUAUGGUCAAUUUUAGUAUUUUUCUAACUCAACGCCUUAAACUUUUUAUUGAUUACUUUUCCGACUUAA